AGCCGAUGAAGGACGUUACUAACGACGAUAUGCUUUGGGGAGCUGUAAGUAAGCUUUGAUCCAGAGAUUUCCGAAUGGGGAAACCCAGCAUGAGUUAUGUCAUGUUAUCGAUAUGUGAAUACAUAGCAUAUCAGAAGGCACACCCGGAGAACUGAAACAUCUUAGUACCCGGAGGAAGAGAAAGAAAAUUCGAUUCCCUUAGUAGCGGCGAGCGAAACGGGAAGAGCCCAAACCAACAAGCUUGCUUGUUGGGGUUGUAGGACACUCUAUACGGAGUUACAAAGGACGACAUUAGACGAAUCAUCUGGAAAGAUGAAUCAAAGAAGGUAAUAAUCCUGUAGUCGAAAAUGUUGUCUCUCUUGA
rnacentral:rRNA from 1 species